GAUGAACGCUGGCGGCGUGCUUAAGACAUGCAAGUCGAACGGAGUGUGUAGCAAUACUCACUAAGUGGCGAAUGGGUGAGUAACACGUAGGUGACCUGCCCUGAAGUGCGGAAUAACAGUCCGAAAGGAUUGCUAAUACCGCAUGUGGUCCCGGGCGUUAGAGAACCGGGCCUAAAGCAGUAAUGCGCUUCAGGAGGGGCCUGCGGUCCAUCAGCUAGUUGGUAGGGAAUGGCCUACCAAGGCAACGACGGAUAGGGGACCUGAGAGGGUGGCCCC
rnacentral:rRNA from 1 species